rnacentral:rRNA from 1 species
AGCAGCCGCGGUAAUUCCAGCUCCAAUAGCGUAUAUUAAAGUUGUUGCAGUUAAAAAGCUCGUAGUUGAAUUUCGGGAUCAAGGAAUCGGUCAUGCCUUGGUAUGUACUGGUUUUAUUGGUUCUCACCUUCUAAAGAACCAUAAUGUCAUUCAUUUGAUGUUAUGGGGAAUUAGGACUGUUACCUUGAAAAAAUUAGAGUGUUUAAAGCAGGCUUACGCUUGAAUACAUUAGCAUGGAAUAAUGAAAUAGGACGUUCGAUCCUAUUUUGUUGGUUUCUAGGAUCAACGUAAUGAUUAAUAGGGAUAGUUGGGGGCAUUAGUAUUCAAUUGUCAGAGGUGAAAUUCUUGGAUUUAUUGAAGACUAACUACUGCGAAAGCAUUUGCCAAGGAUGUUUUCAUUAAUCAAGAACGAAAAGUUAGGGGAUCGAAGACGAUCAGAUACCGUCGUAGUCUUAACCAAUAAACUAUGCCGACUAGGGAUCGGAUGAUGUUAAUUUUUAAUGACUCAUUCGGCGCCUUA